GGAGAGGUACCCAAGAGGCUGAAGGGGGGAGAUUGCUAAUCUCCUAGGGGUGUAAAAGCCCGCGAGGGUUCGAAUCCCUCUCUCUCCGCCA
rnacentral:tRNA from 1 species